GCAAGGCAGGCGGGGUCCCCCAGCACUGCGGGGCCGCUUCUCCGGCUCUGCGGGUCCUCGCAGCACCCCUCACGCCUACUGGGGCCGGGCAGCAAACAGACUUUGAUCCUCCGAGCUGAGUCCACGUGCCAAGACCCCACCUGGCGGGUGGCCUGAGACCCUCCCUCUGGGCUUCCACCGGCCUGCAUCCAGUAGAAGAGACCAGAGACCGCGCCCGCUGUGUGACAGACUGCAUCCAGGGAGGCGCCGAGAGGGGGAGCCCGUGGGUGCGGGACUCCCGGGUUGGGGUGGGGUGGGGUGGGGGUCCUGUCAAAGAACCGGGAUGAGGCCGCAUCCGUAAAUGAGUGCUGCAUGAACUUGGGACUGCUCAACACCGAGCUGAGGAGUUAGACCUUAGGAGCAGUCUCGCAAGCGGCGAGAACUGAGUCUUUGUAAAUAUAUCAGUAAAUAUUUACACCUAUCA